UACGGAGGGGGCCAGCGUUGUUCGGAAUUAUUGGGCGUAAAGGGCGUGUAGGCGGUUUGUUAAGUCAUGUGUGAAAUCCCUCGGCUCAACCGGGGAACGACGCAUGAAACUGGCAAGCUAGAGUACCAAAGAGGGGGGUGGAAUUCCAGGUGUAGCGGUGAAAUGCGUAGAUAUCUGGAGGAAUACCGGUGGCGAAGGCGGCAUCCUGGACCGGCAUUGACGCUGAGGAGCGAAAGCCAGGGGAGCAAACGGG
rnacentral:rRNA from 1 species